CUUGGAGGUGGAGGAGCUCAGUAGACUUCCCACAAACGUUUCCUGCAGCCCGUCAAGAGCCCUCCUGUUCCUGCUCCCCCCUUUCCUUGCAGAUCUUCUGGCUCAGAAAUACUCUUAGGUCUCCUUUCAGGCGCUGCCCGUUUGAAAUCUUCCUGCAGGUUUUCAGUAAUGCUUGAAUUGAGACUGUGAAGGUCAUUGCAAAGUCUGUACCCCACUUUCCAGUAAGUACUUUGAGGUUGACUUGGACGUGCGUGUUGGAUCAUUGUCCUGUUGAAACAUCCAACCUUUUUUCAGCUUUCAGAGUGGCCUUCACAGUCUCCAGACUUCUGCCCAAGAUGUUUCACAAUACUGAUUGAAAAGGGGUUCUGUAUCUGCUGUACUCACCAUUUUCUUAUUUUGAAUAUGCAAACAGUUGCACCUAAACAGUAAGCAUGCAUCCAAAUUUGUAGAAAGGUGCUGUGCUGAACUUUGUACCAAGAAGAACUCAGGGGUCCCCAGAGACAUGGUGUUGAUUAGGGGUGUCUGAGCGUUGAAUACAGCACUAUAUUCAUCACCAAAAGAUACAGAUAAUUCUCUUCUCCCCCUGGUAUUGUGGCGUCAGCCCUGCACUGCAGGGUUUUUUGGGAGGAGGGUCAGAGUCUUCAGGCCAAGAUUGUGGUGCUUGUUCUUGUUGACUGAGACAGUGGCAUCUCUGAACUAAAUGAGCCAAAUCUUUCCAGGAUUUGAAAUUCCAGAUGCAGAAGCAGAGAAGCUGAUGAGUCCUCAAGAUAUCAUAGAUUACAUUGCUGACACGCAAGAUGUGUAUGAAUGAGUUCCUGUCAAGCUGAAUAAUUACUGUUCUGAAAGCGGGAUGAUGUGAUCGAGAAGGAUGAUCCUGGCAAGCAAGCCCCUUUGCUGUUUGGAAUCACUGUGGCUCUCAGAGGAAGAGUUUUGUUCGUUAUAUUUAAAGUUGUAUAUGUUUGCCUUCGGAAUAAAUAUGAAUAAUUCUUA